UAUUGCUCUAAUUUGAGGCUCAUUUAAAUGAGCUUAGUUGUCUGGUUUUCCCCUUUAGAGAAGACAGGAAUUUUUUUAAAGAAGAGAGAGGCUCUACGUAAGGCAGAUAUGCUGGCACCGCGAGGAGUGAUCACAACGUGCCAUUUUAGGAACAGACAGACAGAGGAUUUAAAACUGGCUGUGAGGUCAAGUCCAACAGAGCACAGUGUGGCGUCAGAGUGGAGUAAAAGAAGCUGAAGAGGUGUGUAGGCAGAAAAAGGGAAAAUCACUUUAUAAAAUAAAACCAAGACAUGACUCUGGAAUUAAAGCAAAAAUAAGCAUGAAAACCUGAACAAUGAAAAGCAGAACG